rnacentral:lncRNA from 1 species
CAAUGUCGCAAAUAAUUGUCUGUAUUUUCAUUACAAAUCGAGCAAGAUUACAUCGAAAAUAUGUGUCGUCAUCUAAUCGUUAAUGUAGCAUUACAAAUCGAGUAAGAUUACAUCGAAAAUAUUAACGGGAGGGGGGGGGUCGUGUAUUUUGCAUUACUGAAAUCCGUUAAUACUACAUAUUAUGUAAAAUAACAAUUUUACCCUCCAACAACCCCAAAUCUAACUAACAGCAUUAUUUUCAUCUCUCUCGCCUCCCCCCCUCUCUCUCGCACGCCCCUUUCUCUCGCUCUCUCUCUCUCGCACGUCUCUCUCUCUAUCUAUAUCUCUUUCUCUCUCGUGCACGAACACUUAUCAUCUUCUAUUGAAAUUUAUUUGUUAUUGUAUGAUUUUUCAUUAUGUAUAAUGAUCGUUUUUCUAUUUAUUCUUUUGUGGGUUGAAAUUAAUUUUUUGCAACGUUAAUUUUUUUUCAUGUUAGGUCUUUUUGUUUUAUUACUUAUUAAUAUAAUUAGUUUACUACUGCAAAUUAUAUUUUUGUAAAAAAAUAAUAUGCAAAUGACCACAACAAGGGCAAUUUUGAAAAAAACUAUAUUUUUAUGUCAGGAUUACUAAAUUUUAUAAACUGAACCAAACAUAUUAAUGCUAUAAAUACUGUAAUCUAGUAUUACAUUACUGCAUUAAACCAAACGCACUAAUGCAGCAUCAGUAGUAAUCUCACGCCGAAAUUCAAAAUACCUGAAUAUGUCGAGAUACUUUGUAAUAUUACAUAACUCGAACCAAACGGGCCCUUAGUAAAAGUUCAAAACAUGUUGUAAAUAAAAAAGAAAAAUUCCCCCAUUGGAAAA